rnacentral:rRNA from 2 species
UGCAAGUCGAGCGGACAGAAGGGAGCUUGCUCCCGGAUGUUAGCGGCGGACGGGUGAGUAACACGUGGGUAACCUGCCUGUAAGACUGGGAUAACUCCGGGAAACCGGAGCUAAUACCGGAUAGUUCCUUGAACCGCAGGGUUCAAGGAUGAAAGACGGUUUCGGCUGUCACUUACAGAUGGACCCGCGGCGCAUUAGCUAGUUGGUGAGGUAACGGCUCACCAAGGCGACGAUGCGUAGCCRACCUGAGAGGGUGAUCGGCCACACUGGGACUGAGACACGGCCCAGACUCCUACGGGAGGCAGCAGUAGGGAAUCUUCCGCAAUGGACGAAAGUCUGACGGAGCAACGCCGCGUGAGUGAUGAAGGUUUUCGGAUCGUAAAGCUCUGUUGUUAGGGAAGAACAAGUGCAAGAGUAACUGCUUGCACCUUGACGGUACCUAACCAGAAAGCCACGGCUAACUACGUGCCAGCAGCCGCGGUAAUACGUAGGUGGCAAGCGUUGUCCGGAAUUAUUGGGCGUAAAGGGCUCGCAGGCGGUUUCUUAAGUCUGAUGUGAAAGCCCCCGGCUCAACCGGGGAGGGUCAUUGGAAACUGGGAAACUUGAGUGCAGAAGAGGAGAGUGGAAUUCCACGUGUAGCGGUGAAAUGCGUAGAGAUGUGGAGGAACACCAGUGGCGAAGGCGACUCUCUGGUCUGUAACUGACGCUGAGGAGCGAAAGCGUGGGGAGCGAACAGGAUUAGAUACCCUGGUAGUCCACGCCGUAAACGAUGAGUGCUAAGUGUUAGGGGGUUUCCGCCCCUUAGUGCUGCAGCUAACGCAUUAAGCACUCCGCCUGGGGAGUACGGUCGCAAGACUGAAACUCAAAGGAAUUGACGGGGGCCCGCACAAGCGGUGGAGCAUGUGGUUUAAUUCGAAGCAACGCGAAGAACCUUACCAGGUCUUGACAUCCUCUGACAACCCUAGAGAUAGGGCUUUCCCUUCGGGGACAGAGUGACAGGUGGUGCAUGGUUGUCGUCACCUCGUGUCGU